AGGAUUAACGCUGGCGGCGUGCCUAACACAUGCAAGUCGAACGAGGGGGGCAACCCCCUAGUGGCAGACGGGUGAGUAACACGUGGUCAACCUACCGCUUUGUGGGGGAUAACCAGCCGAAAGGUUGGCUAAUACCGCAUACGUCUUCGGUCGGCAUCGACUGAUGAUAAAAGGAGCAAUCCGCAAGGUGACGGGACCGCGUCCCAUUAGCUAGUUGGUGAGGUAAUGGCCCACCAAGGCUCCGAUGGGUAGCUGGUUUGAGAGAGCGACCAGCCACACUGGGACUGAGAAACGGCCCAGACUCCUACGGGAGGCAGCAGUGAGGAAUUUUCCGCAAUGGGCGAAAGCCUGACGGAGCGACGCCGCGUGUGGGAAGAAGGCCUUCGGGUCGUAAACCACUGUCGAAGGGGAAGAUAUUGACGGUACCCUUGGAGGAAGCCCCGGCUAACUACGUGCCAGCAGCCGC
rnacentral:rRNA from 1 species